rnacentral:misc_RNA from 1 species
UCUCCGUUGGUGAACCAGCGGAGGGAUCAUUACCGAGUUUACAACUCCCAAACCCCAUGUGAACCAUACCAAACUGUUGCCUCGGCGGGGUCACGCCCCGGGUGCGUCGCAGCCCCGGAACCAGGCGCCCGCCGGAGGGACCAACCAAACUCUUUCUGUAGUCCCCUCGCGGACGUUAUUUUUACAGCUCUGAGCAAAAAUUCGAAAUGAAUCAAAACUUUCAACAACGGAUCUCUUGGUUCUGGCAUCGAUGAAGAACGAAGC